AAAAAAUGGAGCCAUGGCAAGACCUUAGUGGAAAAGUAGUUAUGGUGACCGGUGCGUCAUCUGGAAUCGGGCUAGAGUUCUGUAUCAACUUAGCAAAAGCCGGUUGCAAAAUCAUUGCUGCAGCUCGUCGUGUUGACAGACUGAAAUCUCUCUGUGACCAAAUUAAUAGUAAAUCCAACGGACCUCAACGUGCGAUCGCGGUUGAGCUUGAUGUCUCUGCUGAUAGUACUACCAUUGACUCCGCUGUACAAAUAGCUUGGGAUGCAUUUGGACGUAUUGAUGUCUUGAUUAACAACGCCGGUGUUAGAGGGAGCGUGAGCUCUUCCGUGGAAAUAACAGAGGAGGAAUGGAACAAUACAUAUAACACGAAUCUACGAGGGGCAUGGAUGGUUUCGAAAUAUGUAUGUAAGCGUAUGAUCGAUGCUAAACAGGGCGGAGGAUCUGUUAUUAACAUCACUUCAAUGGCGGGUUUAAAUCGUACAGCAGUACCAGGGACUAUUGCUUACGGUACUUCAAAGAUGGCUCUAGACAUGGUUACUAAGAUAAUGGCGAUUGAAUUGGGUGGAGAGAAUAUCAGAGUGAACUCGAUAUCACCAGGAGUUGUAAAAUCAGAGAUAACAGAGGACCUCGUUAAAAAUAAAUGGUUCCAUAAGUUCCUUUUGAGAACUCUUCCUCUGAAAUAUCUUGGAACUACAGAUCCGGCCUUAACAUCACUCAUUCGAUAUUUAAUGCAUGAUUCUUCUGAAUAUGUAACGGGCAAUGUUUUCAUCGUCGAUGCUGGUGCUACCUUACCAGGUGUUCCUAUUUUCUCAUCGCUCUAGAGCGAUGAACUUAGCUCAACAAGAAAUGGAUAUCUUAGACAAACUCUGUAAUAAUGUUGGUUUUUUAUCGUUCUUGUAAGUUCAAUUCUCUCGAAGCAAUCGAAAAUGUUU
rnacentral:misc_RNA from 1 species